rnacentral:rRNA from 1 species
UACAGAGGGUGCAAGCGUUAGUCGGAAUUACUGGGCGUAAAGCGUGCGUAGGUGGUUUGUUAAGUUAGAUGUGAAAGCCCCGGGCUCAACCUGGGAACUGCAUCCAAAACUGGCAAGCUAGAGUAGGGCAGAGGGUGGUGGAAUUUCCUGUGUAGCGGUGAAAUGCGUAGAUAUAGGAAGGAACACCAGUGGCGAAGGCGACCACCUGGGCUCAUACUGACACUGAGGUGCGAAAGCGUGGGGAGCAAACAGG